GGCGCCAAUCCUAGAUUCGAUAGGGUAAGUUCUGUGGUCUCCAGGGCAGAAGAAAUCUGUGGAUAGGCCGAAGGUAAAGCCAAUGACAGUGGGAGGGGGGAAUUUAGAGAAGUAGGUGAGGUAUUUGAUUGACAGCGGUAUUGGCCAGUAUGCUGGGGGUCGUGCUCUGGGGGAUGUAAUUGGCGCUACCUGUUGAAGGACUCAAGUGUGAAUCAAUAGAAUGCCUGCAAGCGUGCGAAUUUGGACGCCUGGAGUCUGAGGAUGCGGGAAGCGUUGCUUACCUUAGGUAUGGCUCUGGACAGUAUGGUGAACUGAGCAAGUGUUUUGCACCUUUUCACUUCUGCGAGCCUCUUCCCGGUCUUCAGGAGCAUCUAUCUGGCUCCCAUCACUCUCCUGCUACCUGCACUCAACUUGUAUCUGUGAUUAACCCCUGCUGUUACCAAUAAUGGCUUAAUGGUUCGUAUCUGCCAAGGAGAAUUGUAUUUCAACAGUUUCAGAAUAUAUAGCCUUCUAGAGCCUAAGGAAUUGAUUGCUUACCUUGCUCUCUACCCUUGGGAGACAGAUCUCUUUCCUUAAACUUGUACAUAUCUGAGCAGAAAAGAAGCCUGUCUCUUAAAAGGAUUGGACAGAAACAUUUUCGCUAGAGUCUCGUUCUUUGGACGUGAUCCAAUCACUACUUCUCUACCUAUGAGACUGUUGAUCAUCUCUUUCUCAGAUGAGUUCUGCCAUUAAACUGAAUAUCCAAAUGUGCAUAAAUCCUGAAUCCUAGGCUAUUCUGGCCAAUCAGCAAGAGAAAGAUUUGAGAUUUAAGAAAUUUGCAGCAACAAGAAUUGACUGAUGGCAACUACUAUUUCUUAAUAAGAGUAUUUUACUUAUGUUCUCUGGUUCUUGAGAUUCAAAAUGUAUUUUGAGAAGCAGCAACAGGAGAACAUCUGGAGAGAGAAGGUGAAGGAAGACUUUGAAAGAGCAGAAUCGUGAGGAAUGAUGCCAGUGCCAUUUGCUGAAAAUGAAAGCAGGAACUUGGACCAGAAGUUUUAGAAUCCUGAAUUUAUCAAAGAAAUGUGAAGGCUGAGGCUUACAGAGAUCGAAGAGUAGAGGAUGCAUUGAGGCCACAGUUGAAGGAAAGAAGCCUGGAUUUCCACUGAAUUUGGGCUAAAUUUCCACUAUUCUUCUUCCUCUUCCUUAAGAUUCUGCUCAUUGGGUUACCCACCAACCCAGGAAACAGACUUAUCUCCUUAUCCUCAAGUUGCUGAAGGCAGGAAGAAUGAGCAAGGUUUUGCUCAAGGAAGAGCUAUUGUAACAAAAUAAUUGUAAUUAGUCUGAUAGUGCAGGGAAAGAAACUCCAUUUCUUCUGAGGAAUUCGGGGCAUUAUUUGCAUUUGAAAAAGCAAUCUCAUUAGAGCAGUAUGUUAUAUUAUAAGACAUUUUGCAGAAAAAUGUUUGAGAAGAACCAUAGCAGUCUCUUGCAUGUGCAUGUGUGCCCACACACAGACACACACACACUCUGAAUUUUCCACUUAAAAGUACAUAUACUUCAAUUAAAAAGCAAUUUGAAAAGUAAUAUAAAUUGAUCAGGGGAUGUUCCUAAAUUUAAAGAGGGAAAGACUUGUAGAGGUUUAAAAAUAAAAGGACUUGGGGUUGGAGGAACAGGCAUUAGGGAAAGCUAUAUGGCAAGGUUAAAAGAAUUGUGGAAUUAAUGCUAUUUAAAAAUAAUUGCAUUAGAAAUCUAGCUAAUGGGAAUUAGUCCAUUUCAUUGACUUAGAUAGUUAUAAAAUUAAUUCCUUUUUGUGGGAAUUUUAAUUGGGUGGCUACAACCAGAUGCACAUGAGGAAUCCCCUCCUGGUGCUAGAAUUGCAAUCAGGAUGUUCAAUUCAACAACAGAGUUCGAUUCAUCAAUUGGGUGAAUCUCCCAAUCUAAAAAGGUUCCGCAUAGCUACUAUGCACCUAAAAUUGCCCCCAAAUGGUUUUCUUACUUUCAUGUUAUUCUAAGUUUUUUACUCUUGGUGAAACCUCCUCACAUGCUAGGCUACUUGUCUAUUUUCAUCCCCCCUUAGCCUCACUUCCCAAAAUAUUUUAUCAUUUUCUCUUUUGGGUCAACAAUUACGG
ensembl:lncRNA novel transcript, antisense to STXBP5L